rnacentral:rRNA from 1 species
GAUUAUGGCUCAGGAUGAACGCUGGCGGCGUGCCUAAUACAUGCAAGUCGAGCGAGAAUCUUCAGAAACAAUCUUCGGAUGCGUUCAGGAGAGGAAAGCGGCGGACGGGUGAGUAACGCGUAGGCAACCUGCCCCUGGCAGAGGGAUAGCCAUUGGAAACGAUGAUUAAAACCUCAUAAUGCUUUGGAAGCACAUGCUUUCGAAGCCAAAGAUUUAUCGGCUGGGGAUGGGCCUGCGUCUGAUUAACUAGUUGGUGAGGUAACGGCCCACCAAGGUGACGAUCAGUAGCCGACCUGAGAGGGUGAUCGGCCACAUUGGAACUGAGACACGGUCCAAACUUCUACGGAAGGCAGCAGUAAGGAAUCUUGCACAAUGGGGGAAACCCUGAUGCAGCAACGCCGCGUGAACGAUGAAGGCCCUAGGGUUGUAAAGUUCUGAUCUGUGGGAAGAAGAAAGUGACGGUACCACAGGAGAAAGCCCCGGCUAAAUACGUGCCAGCCGCUGC